rnacentral:rRNA from 1 species
AGAUCAAAUUGUUGGUCGUGCCUUGGUACGUACUGGCAUUAUUGAUUACUCCCUUCUGAAGAAUCACGAUGUCAUUAAUUUGGUGUUGCGGGGAAUUUGGACUGUUACUUUGAAGAAAUUAGAGUGUUUAAAGCAAGCUAACGCUUGAAUACAUUAGCAUGGAAUAAUGAAAUAGGACGUUCGGUCCUAUUUUGUUGGUUUCUAGGAUUGACGUA